CAGGAUGUGAGGAAGCCGCGGUGGUACACCCUGUUUCCAAGUAGCCUGCUGCCAUGCCCUUCCCUCCACAAUGGACUGUUUCCUCUCCAACUCCUGGCAUCUAUGAUCUUGACAAUUUUCCAUGUAACAUGAAGGAAAUAUUUUGAAUUUUCCUUUAGUUGCAAAUCUCACCUAGGACCAUUCUAGCAUGUUGCCCCUGGGCUCAGCUUAGAAUAUUGACUGGUGCUGGCCAGAGAAGCUUCUUCUGCUUGCCGUGGAUCACAGCUAACACAUUGACCCACAACUGGUCAAUGUGCUGAGAACAAGCGCCUGAGGGAUGUCCUGCCCCCAACUUGGACAGUCUCUAUCACCCUCUCCGAGACCAGGGAGCAUUUCAGAACAUUAGGCUAAAAGAAUGUAAGAGCCAGAGGAUGAAAUGGGGUGCUGUAAAAUACCAUGUUCUGAACAUGACAUGACUGUAAACUUAGGAACUCACAGUACCAGGUGGCUACCAGUACAAAACCUGUACAAGACCUGGCCCAUCAAAUCUCACCAUGACUGGAGGGUGGGGCUCAUAAAGUUCCAUCUUUUCCUAAGGAACUAUAGGCAGUUAAUGAUUUCUUGAGGGGGAGUAGGGAAUCACAUUCCUCAGUGAUAUAGACACUGAUCCAUUGUCUUCAGUCAAGUUAAUAGCCUCUGAUUCCUGUUCAUGCAAGCAACACUUAUUAAAUAGAGUGGGUUACCAAACCAAACAACAAAAACAUAAACAAAACCACAAAGCAUA